GACGAACGCUGGCGGCGGGCUUAACACAUGCAAGUCGAACGGAAAGGCCCUGCUUUUGUGGGGUGCUCGAGUGGCGAACGGGUGAGUAACACGUGAGUAACCUGCUCUACACUUUGGGAUAACUUCAGGAAACUGGGGCUAAUACCGGAUAGGAGACCCUGCUGCAUGGUGGGGGUUGGAAAGUUUCGGCGGGUGGGGAUGGACUCGCGGCUUAUCAGCUUGUUGGUGGGGUAGUGGCUUACCCAGGCUUGGACGGGUCGGCGGCCUGAGAGGGUGGCCGGCGACAUUGGGACUGAGAUACGGACCAGAGUCGUACGGGAGGCAGCAGUGGGGAACAUGGCCCAAUGGGCGGAAGCCUGAUACAGCAACGCCGCGUUCGUGAUGACGGCCUUCGGGUUGUAAACCGCUUUCGCCUGUGACGAAGCGUGAGUGACGGUAAUGGAUAAAGAAGCACCGGCUAACUACGUG
rnacentral:rRNA from 1 species